AGAUAUGCAAGUCGAGCGACAGUUAGUUCCGCAAGGAACUGACUGAGCGGCGGACGGCUGAGUAACACGUAGGAACUUGCCCCUAGGCGGAGAAUAGCUCACCGAAAGGUGGGGUAAUACUCCAUGGUCUCUGACGUAAGUUAGAGUAAAGGACGUAACUGUUCACCAAGGGAUAGUCCUGCGGCCUAUCAGGUAGUUGGUAGGGUAAUUGCCUACCAAGCCAAUGACGGGUAGCUGGCCUCAUGAGGGUGGUCAGCCAGAGGGGGACUGAGACACGGCCCCCACUCCUACGGGAGGCAGCAAUCAGGAAUAGUCGGCAAUGGACGAAAGUCUGACCGCGCGACGCCGCGUGUAGGAAUAAGCUUCACAAGAGUGUAAACUACUGUGAUAGGGGAAGAAGAUCAGUCGUAAGACUGGUUUGACGGUACCCUAUUAGAAAGUGGCCGCUAACUGCGUGCCAGAAGCGUCGGUAAUACGUGGGCCACGAGCAUUAUCCGGUGUCACUGGGCGUAAAGAGUCGUGUAGGUGGUUUGAUAAGUUAUCUUUUAAAUUUCCACGCUUAACGUGGAGUCAGGGGAUAAUACUAUCAAGCUAGAGUUUUCUUUAGGGAGAUUGGAACUGAGGGAGGAGUAGUGAAAUGCGUUGAUACCCUCGGGAACACCAGUGGCGAAGGCGAAUCUCUGGAAGAAGACUGACACUGAGACACGAAAGCUAGGGGAGCGAAGCAGAUUAGAGACCUGCGUAGUCCUAGCCCUAAACGCAUGCUUGCUAGCUGCAUUUAAGUCUUCGGACGAAAGUGUGGCGAAGGUAACCCGUUAAGCAAGCCGCCUGGGGAGUACUGUCGCAAGAUUAAAACUCAAAGGAAUUGGCGGGGAGGCACACAACCAGUGGAACAUGUGGUUUAAUUCGAUACGAACCGAAGCACCUCACCAGGGAUUGACAUGCUAGAGUUCUAUUCCCAAGAAACUGGGAAAAUCCGUAAGGAGGCUAGCACAGGUGUUGCAUGGCUGUCGUCGGUUCGUUCCGUGAGGAGUGCCCUUAAGUGGGACAACGAACGCAACCCCCAUCUUGUGUUAUAAGUAUCACAAGAGACUGCACCGCCUUUGGCGGUGAGGAAGGAGGGGCAGACGUCAAGUCAGCAUGAUCCUUAUACCCUGGGCGACACACAUGUUACAAUGAAUAGGAACAAUGAGCUUCGCAAGCGUGUAAACGCAAGCAAAUCUCUGAAAUCUAUUCUCAGUGGGGAUUGAGGUCUGCAACCCGACCUCAUGAACGCGGAAUUGGUAGUAAUCGCAGAUCAGCUACGCUGCGGUGAUACGUUCUUGCCUCUUGUACUCACCG
rnacentral:rRNA from 1 species